rnacentral:rRNA from 1 species
AUUGAACGCUGGCGGCAGGCCUAACACAUGCAAGUCGAGCGGUAACACAGAGGAGCUUGCUCCUUGGGUGACGAGCGGCGGACGGGUGAGUAAUGCCUGGGGAUCUGCCCGAUAGAGGGGGAUAACUACGGGAAACUGUAGCUAAUACCGCAUAAUGUCUACGGACCAAAGUGGGGGCUCUUCGGACCUCAUGCUAUCGGAUGAACCCAGGUGGGAUUAGCUAGUUGGUGAGGUAAUGGCUCACCAAGGCGACGAUCUCUAACUGGUUUGAGAGAAUGACCAGUCACACUGGAACUGAGACACGGUCCAGACUCCUACGGGAGGCAGCAGUGGGGAAUAUUGCACAAUGGGCGCAAGCCUGAUGCAGCCAUGCCGCGUGUGUGAAGAAGGCCUUCGGGUUGUAAAGCACUUUCAGCGGGGAGGAAGGGUCACUAGUUAAUACCUAGUGGCAUUGACGUUACUCGCAGAAGAAGCACCGGCUAACUCCGUGCCAGCAGCCGCCGUAA